UACAGGGGGGGCGAGCGUUGUUCGGAAUUACUGGGCGUAAAGGGUUUGUAGGUGGCUUGCUCAGUCAGACGUGAAAUCCCCAGGCUUAACCUGGGAACUGCGUCUGAUACUGGAUGGCUUGAAUUCGGGAGAGGGAUGCAGAAUUCCAGGUGUAGCGGUGAAAUGCGUAGAUAUCUGGAGGAAUACCGGUGGCGAAGGCGGCAUCCUGGACCGAUAUUGACACUGAUGAGCGAAAGCCAGGGGAGCAAACGGG
rnacentral:rRNA from 1 species